rnacentral:rRNA from 1 species
GUCUACAAUCAUGCCACGCUGAACAAGCUCGAUGUCUGAUCUCGGAAGCUAAGCAGAGUCGGGCAUGAUUAGUACUUAGAUAAGAGACCACCUAGGAAGACCAGGUGCUGUAGACA